rnacentral:rRNA from 1 species
CCUACGGGGGGCAGCAGUGGGGAAUAGUGGACAAUGGGGGAAACCCUGAUCCAGCGACGCCGCGUGAGGGAAGAAGGUGUUCGGAGGGGAAACCUCUGUCAGUGGGGACGAGAAUGACGGUACCCACGGAGGAAGCCACGGCUAACUACGUGCCAGCAGCCGCGGUAAUACGUAGGUGGCAAGCGUUGUCCGGAAUUACUGGGUGUAAAGGGAGCGUAGGCGGGAUGGCAAGUCAGAAGUGAAAAUUAUGGGCUCAACUCAUAACCUGCUUUUGAAACUGAUAUUCUGGAGUGAAGUAGAGGCAAGCGGAAUUCCUAGUGUAGCGGUGAAAUGCGUAGCUAUUAGGUGGAACACCAGUGGCGAAGGCGGCUUGCUGGGCUUUUACUGACGCUGAGGCUCGAAAGCGUGGGGAGCAAACAGGAUUAGAUACCCGAGUAGUC